rnacentral:lncRNA from 1 species
GAAAAGCCCCUCUGAGGAAGUGACAUUUAAAUGGAAGUCUAAUUAAAUUACUCUAGGAAGAGGACACAGCAAGUACAAAUGUCAGAAGACCAGUACAGGUGUCACCGGACUAAAACUGGAGUAUCAGCAGGCAUUCCCUGCUGGAGGCUUAAGGGCAGAAUCCAUUUCCUUGCAUUUUCCAGCUUCUAGAGGCAUCUCCCUGGUCCUUGCAUACUGUCGCCAACAUUUCAGAACUGGCAAUAGGAUUGUCCAAAACUAAACAUCUGCUGCUAAGAUUUGAGUAAUAGUCCAUCCUUGCCAUCUACCACCUUUUGCCUAAUUUGGGUUUGGAUAGUCAGCAAGAGAGCCAAGACAAGAGUGGUUUGGCCACAGGGCAGUUUUGACCUGCCCUUGAAUCCAUGCCAAUUCAUUCUGAGAAAGCCUCAGCGAACCACUGAUGGAAAUCAACGGGGCCCUCACUCGUCUCCUGGGCAAAAUGCUGCACCUUCGCCGAGCUCACCUUCAGUGGAAAGGCUUCAAGCAGUACUUUCUGUCAGAAUGACCUCUUUCACCAUCUACCUCAAGUUGACAACUGAUGCAAGACAUCUACUUUCCCACAGAAAACAUAGAAAAGAACAGCCAAGGCUCUUUAUUAUCUUGUCCUCAAGCUCUCUCAGGUGUUGGAGAUAAUCAAGAUAAUCCAAAACCAUAUCAUGAGCAAAAAUACAGAAAAAAUGCUUUAUCGCAAGAAGGAUAUGUACCUGGAUCCAGUAGAGUAAGAUGUAAUUCUCAGAUUUCUAUUAAAACUAUUUGGGGAAGACCCAAACUCUCUUUCCAUUAAAAUUGCCAAGCUUUUACGAUAAGAGUCUGGGACUGCCAGAAUCCAGCCAGUUAUGUUACGUGGAAGUUAUGUGCCUGUGAAUUCAGCCAAUAUGGAAAAAAUCAGAGGCAAGAGAUGGAGAGUCAAUGUCCUUUGAGAACCUGGAUCAAGUCACAGCUGAGUUGCCCACCACUGGAUAUUCAGGAAUCCCAUAUCUCAACUCGUUUGGUAUGUAUGGAACAUAAAAAGAAAAAAAGAGAGAAACUCAUCAAGUGGAAGAACGGGAUGAGGAAAAGGUUUACUCAGGGAGGCUGCAUGGGGAAGAAAGGGCAGCCAAAGAUGAAACUCUGUGGACAAUAUGGUGCAACAGAG